rnacentral:rRNA from 1 species
UACGUAGGGGGCAAGGCGUUGUCCGGAUUUAUUGGGCGUAAAGAGCUCGUAGGUGGUUCGGUAAGUCGGAUGUGAAAUCUCCAGGCUCAACCUGGAGGGGUCAUUCGAUACUGCCGUGACUAGAGGUCGGUAGGGGAGUGUGGAAUUCCUGGUGGAGCGGUGAAAUGCGCAGAUAUCAGGAGGAACACCCGUAGCGAAGGCGGCACUCUGGGCCGAUACUGACACUGAGGAGCGAAAGCGUGGGGAGCGAACAGG